UACGAAGGGGGCUAGCGUUGCUCGGAAUCACUGGGCGUAAAGGGUGCGUAGGCGGGUCUUUAAGUCAGGGGUGAAAUCCUGGAGCUCAACUCCAGAACUGCCUUUGAUACUGAGGAUCUUGAGUUCGGGAGAGGUGAGUGGAACUGCGAGUGUAGAGGUGAAAUUCGUAGAUAUUCGGAAGAACACCAGUGGCGAAGGCGACACACUGGCUCACUACUGACGCUGAGGCGCGAAAGCGUGGGGAGCAAACGGG
rnacentral:rRNA from 1 species